CUGUUGCUUGCAUGAUCAGAUUUAGUAAGGUCUGAAGCCUGCACCUAGCCCAGCCCUUCAUAUGGAAAAGCCACUGUUACUAGCUUGGGUGAACCCCUAAGUUGGUUGGGGCUGACCCUUAGGUAAUCAUCAGGGUAGGGAUUAUCAUGUGAGCCAGAUUGAUUGGGACUCAGAUAUGAUGCUGCCACACUGUGGCUCUGUGUGGGGCAGAGCUCAGAAGAGGUACAAUGGCUGCUGUCUGCAGUUCUGUCUAGGAGGAAGCUCCCCCACAGCUCUAGUCA